GUCCACGCCGUAAACGAUGAAUGCCAGUCGUCGGGUAGCAUGCUAUUCGGUGACACACCUAACGGAUUAAGCAUUCCGCCUGGGGAGUACGGCCGCAAGGUUAAAACUCAAAGGAAUUGACGGGGGCCCCGCACAAGCGGUGGAGCAUGUGGUUUAAUUCGAAGCAACGCGCAGAACCUUACCAACCCUUGACAUGGAUAUCGCGGGACCGGAGACGGUUCUUUCAGUUCGGCUGGAUAUCACACAGGUGCUGCAUGGCUGUCGU
rnacentral:rRNA from 1 species